rnacentral:rRNA from 1 species
ACGAACGCUGGCGGCGUGCUUAACACAUGCAAGUCGCACGGAAAGGCCCUGCUUUUGUGGGGUGCUCGAGUGGCGAACGGGUGAGUAACACGUGAGUAACCUGCCCUUGACUUUGGGAUAACUUCAGGAAACUGGGGCUAAUACCGGAUAGGAGCUCCUGCUGCAUGGUGGGGGUUGGAAAGUUUCGGCGGUUGGGGAUGGACUCGCGGCUUAUCAGCUUGUUGGUGGGGUAGUGGCUUACCAAGGCUUUGACGGGUAGCCGGCCUGAGAGGGUGACCGGCCACAUUGGGACUGAGAUACGGCCCAGACUCCUACGGGAGGCAGCAGUGGGGAAUAUUGCACAAUGGGCGGAAGCCUGAUGCAGCAACGCCGCGUGCGGGAUGACGGCCGUCGGGUUGUAAACCGCUUUCGCCUGUGACGAAGCGUGAGUGACGGUAAUGGGUAAAGAAGCACCGGCUAACUACGUG